CAGCCGCCGCGGUAAUACGUAGGGUGCGAGCGUUAAUCGGAAUUACUGGGCGUAAAGCGUGCGCAGGCGGUUGUGUAAGACAGGUGUGAAAUCCCCGGGCUUAACCUGGGAACUGCGCUUGUGACUGCACAGCUAGAGUAUGGCAGAGGGGGGUGGAAUUCCACGUGUAGCAGUGAAAUGCGUAGAGAUGUGGAGGAACACCGAUGGCGAAGGCAGCCCCCUGGGCCAAUACUGACGCUCAUGCACGAAAGCGUGGGGAGCAAACAGGAUUAGAUACCCGGGUAGUCCCUGUCUCUUAUAC
rnacentral:rRNA from 1 species